UACAAACCGACUCCCCAUUGCCAGUUGGCGAUCCCUCUCACAAAAUACAUAGGAUAAAAGACGCGAGCAUGGCGUGGACACGCGUCCCAUUGGCAAAGGCAACCUAGACACCUCUCACUCUCCAGCCAUUCACAGACUGACACGCAUCCUAUCUCCAACGGCUUUUUUUUCUCUCCUCACCCACCAUAAACUACCCUUCUCUCCUUCGAUUCCUUGAUACCUGAGACCAUCCUUUACUCACCUGUAUUCAUUUUACUAUCUUCCACUCAUAAAAUGGGAUAUCUUUCAGAGUCAUCCUUCAAAAAAAUCCCGAAAAAAGAAGUUCCAUAAAAAACAUCACCUUCACACUACAGCGAUACCAUCCUCCUUCCGUAAGCUUCCGUCAACGACCUUCCGCCUCCAACCUCCAUCGCCGUCGGCCAUCCAACAACGAACACAACCGCGCACAAAUCUCCAUCUCGCCAUGUCUGUUCCCACCUCGGGCUCUUAGGUUUGACGGCAUCCGCUUCACCCAUUUCGACAUCACGUCAUCCGGCAGAUCUUCAACACAUGUAGAAGCAACCAAAUCAAACCCAAGCAACUUAUUGAGAAGAUCCAAAGAUGACGUUGCUAAAUGACAAAGUCAAAUGCAACCAUGGCUUCGCGAUUUCGGCAGCAACACUGUGGUGACAAGGCGUUGGUUCAGAUCUCCUAAUUCAGUUGCUGUUAUCAUGGAGUCAUUUUGAAUAUUGUUGGCUUGUGUGUUGGAUUUUGUGCGUUUUCAGGCAUACUCUGAGUAUCAAUUGGAUUUUAUUCCGUACUGUUUGGACUUUUGUAAAUAAGGUUAUAAGUAAAAUUAUGGUUAUGUUGUUGAUUUAAUUUCAUUACGUGUAAAAGUCGAAAAUAUGUGGAUCCGGCAAUUUCAUGCCGUAUAUCGCCAAAUUUCAAUAAACUAAUAGAACACUUCACUGCG